GUCUCGAAGCGGAGGGGGCGCGGCCCCGAGCUGCGCGCGCAUUCCUCCGCCGCGCGCCUCCGUUCCUCCCUCCCUCCCCGCCACGGCCCCGCGCGAGAGUGCGGCCCACGCCGAGCGACCGCGACCCGGGCCCCGCCCCGCCCCGCGCCCAGGGGUCCCGGGGCGGGCUGCGGGCCGGCGGACGAUGCGGCGGCGCUGCCGGAGCGGCGGCGGCGGGCGGCGGAGGCGGAGGUGACGCGCCGCGGCGGGCCGACGGCCAUGCAGCGCUCGCGGACGGCCGCGGACGACGCGGCUCUGCUCCUGGCCGGGCUGGGCCUGCGCGAGUCGGAGCCGACCGCCGGCUCCCCAGGGCGCGUGCGGCGCGGGCCGAGGGCCGUGGACGAGGCGGCGCCAGCGUCGGGCCGCCGAGGCAAGGGUGGCUGCGGCGGCCCCGAGGCCGCGCCCGACGUCCCGAGCCGCCCCGAGCGAGGCCCGCGCGCCAGCCUCGCGGGCUCGGACGGCGGCAGCGCGCGCUCGAGCGGUAUCAGCCUGGGCUAUGACCAGCGCCACGGCCCCGGCCCCGGGCCGCCGUCGGGGGGCAGCGCGCGCUCCAGCGUGUCCAGCCUGGGUUCCCGUGGCUCAGCGGGCGCCUGUGCAGACCUGCUGCCGCCCGGCGUCGGCCCGGCGCCCGCCCGCUCUCCGGAGCCUGCCCAGUUCCCCUUCCCGUUGCCGUCGCUGCCGCUGCCCCCGGGCCGGGAGGGCGGCCCGAGUGCGGCCGAGCGGCGGCUGGAGGCGCUCACGCGGGAACUGGAGCGCGCGCUCGAGGCGCGCACGGCGCGAGACUACUUUGGCAUUUGUAUCAAGUGUGGCCUUGGCAUCUACGGAGCGAGGCAGGCGUGCCAGGCGAUGGGGAGCCUGUAUCACACCGACUGCUUCAUCUGUGACUCCUGUGGGAGACGGCUCCGUGGGAAGGCCUUCUAUAACGUGGGUGAGAAAGUGUACUGCCAGGAGGACUUCCUGUACUCCGGGUUCCAGCAAACAGCUGACAAGUGUAGCGUGUGUGGACACCUCAUCAUGGAGAUGAUUCUGCAGGCCCUUGGCAAGUCCUACCACCCAGGCUGCUUCCGCUGCUCAGUGUGCAACGAGUGCUUGGAUGGGGUUCCCUUCACUGUGGAUGUGGACAACAACAUUUACUGCGUUAGAGACUAUCAUACGGUGUUUGCACCAAAAUGUGCCUCCUGUGCCCGUCCCAUCCUCCCUGCACAGGUCCAGGAAGAAUGCCUGUGAACCCUGCCUUUUUCUCCAGGGCUGUGAGACAACCAUUCGUGUGGUGUCCAUGGACAGAGACUACCAUGUGGAGUGUUACCACUGUGAGGACUGUGGGCUGCAGCUGAGUGGGGAGGAGGGACGCCGCUGCUAUCCCCUGGAGGGGCACCUGCUCUGCCGGCGAUGCCACCUGAGGCGCCUUGGGCAGGGCCCGCUCCCCUCGCCUGCUGUGCAUGUGACUGAGCUCUGAGAAGCAGCGGUCACAGAGAGGAGAGGAGUGGCCCACGCUCCUCCCCACCCGCAGGGGCCGGACCCCCGCAACAAAGAAGCGAUUUCUAUUUAUUCACCUUCUGUGCCUCAAGUCACUUCCCCUGCUGGAUUCCAGGACACUCGCACAGUAGACUACCUUCCUCCGACCGGUCUCAGCUCCCAUGGCAGGGAUUGGAGGGUCUUGGAGCUGGUGGGGGACAGGUGCCUUAUUUGUGUGCGACCACAGAGCCAGGGAGUAUCAACAUCCUGGGAAAUACCACGAUUUGGCCUUGAUGGGUAUUUUCAGCUGCAGUUCUCCUCCUCUCUGGAUCCUGGCUUGGGGUGCUUUUCCAGCAUCCACAGUCUCAGAAGACCCAGGAGCAGAGGGGGGUGGGGCUCAUGAGGGGGCUCCCUUACAGACCCUGCCAGCGAACAUCUGUGCACACUAUAUCAGGCUCCACUACCAAAGCGUAUGAUUUGACUUAAAUUAAGUUUUUUCCCUUCUGGAGGAUGUUUGCAUUUUCUUUAAAAGAAUAUAGUUUUCUUCUAAAAACUUGGA